UACGUAGGGUGCAAGCGUUAAUCGGAAUUACUGGGCGUAAAGCGUGCGCAGGCGGUUGUGCAAGACCGAUGUGAAAUCCCCCGGGCUUAACCUGGGAAUGGCAUUGGUGACUGCACGGCUAGAGUGUGUCAGAGGGGGGUAGAAUUCCACGUGUAGCAGUGAAAUGCGUAGAGAUGUGGAGGAACACCGAUGGCGAAGGCAGCCCCCCUGGGAUGAGACUGACGCUCAUGUACGAAAGCGUGGGGAGCAAACAGG
rnacentral:rRNA from 1 species